rnacentral:rRNA from 1 species
UACAGAGGUCCCGAGCGUUGUUCGGAUUUAUUGGGCGUAAAGGGUGCGUAGGCGGCGGAGUAAGUUGGGUGUGAAAUCCCGGGGCUCAACCUCGGAAUUGCAUUCAAUACUGCUUCGCUCGAGUACUGGAGAGGAGGCUGGAAUUUACGGUGUAGCAGUGAAAUGCGUAGAUAUCGUAAGGAAGGCCGGUGGCGAAAAGCGAGCCUCUGGACAGUUACUGACGCUGAUGCACGAAGGCCAGGGGGAGCAAACGGG